rnacentral:rRNA from 1 species
AGUGAACGCUGGCGGUAGGCCUAACACAUGCAAGUCGAACGGCAGCACAGUAAGAGCUUGCUCUUACGGGUGGCGAGUGGCGGACGGGUGAGGAAUACAUCGGAAUCUACUUUUUCGUGGGGGAUAACGUAGGGAAACUUACGCUAAUACCGCAUACGACCUACGGGUGAAAGCAGGGGAUCUUCGGACCUUUCGCGAUUGAAUGAGCCGAUGUCGGAUUAGCUAGUUGGCGGGGUAAAGGCCCACCAAGGCGACGAUCCGUAGCUGGUCUGAGAGGAUGAUCGGCCACACUGGAACUGAGACACGGUCCAGACUCCUACGGGAGGCAGCAGUGGGGAAUAUUGGACAAUGGGCGCAAGCCUGAUCCAGCCAUGCCGCGUGAGUGAAGAAGGCCUUCGGGUUGUAAAGCCCUUUUGUUGGGAAAGAAAAGCAGCAGGUUAAUACCCCGCUGUUCUGACGGUACCCAAAGAAUAAGCACCGGCUAACUUCGUG